UACGUAGGGGGCUAGCGUUGUCCGGAAUCAUUGGGCGUAAAGCGCGUGUAGGCGGUCCGGUAAGUCCGCUGUGAAAGUCGGGGGGCUCAACCCUCGGAUGCCGGUGGAUACUGUCGGGCUUGAGUACGGAAGAGGCGAGUGGAAUCCUGGUGUAGCGGUGAAAUGCGCAGAUAUCAAGGAGGAACACCAAUUGCGAAGGCAGCUCGCUGGGACGUUACUGACGCUGAGACGCGAAAGCGUGGGGAGCAAACAGG
rnacentral:rRNA from 1 species